rnacentral:rRNA from 1 species
GAGGAAUAUUGGUCAAUGGGCGAGAGCCUGAACCAGCCAAGUAGCGUGCAGGAUGACGGCCCUCCGGGUUGUAAACUGCUUUUAGUUGGGAAUAAAAAAAGGGGCUUGUCCCUUCUUGUAUGUACCUUCAGAAAAAGGACCGGCUAAUUCCGUGCCAGCAGCCGCGGUAAUACGGAAGGUCCAGGCGUUAUCCGGAUUUAUUGGGUUUAAAGGGAGCGUAGGCGGAUUGUUAAGUCAGCGGUUAAAGGGUGUGGCUCAACCAUGCAUUGCCGUUGAAACUGGCGAUCUUGAGUGCAGACAGGGAUGCCGGAAUUCGUGGUGUAGCGGUGAAAUGCUUAGAUAUCACGAAGAACUCCGAUCGCGAAGGCAGGUGUCCGGGCUGCAACUGACGCUGAGGCUCGAAAGUGUGGGUAUCAAACAGGAUUAGAUACCCUGGUAGUCCACACAGUAAACGAUGUAUACUCGCGGUUUGCGAUAGACAGUAAGCCGCCAAGCGAAAGCAUUAAGUAUACCACCUGGGGAGUACGCCGGCAACGGUG